rnacentral:rRNA from 1 species
AUUGAACGCUGGCGGUAGGCCUAACACAUGCAAGUCGAACGCGAAAGUCCUUCGGGAUGAGUAGAGUGGCGGACGGGUGAGUAACGCGUAGGAAUCUAUCCUGUAGUGGGGGAUAACGUUUCGAAAGGAACGCUAAUACCGCAUACGCCCCAAGGGGGAAAGCGGGGGAUCUUCGGACCUCGUGCUAUAGGAGGAGCCUGCGUCGGAUUAGCUAGUUGGUGAGGUAAAGGCUCACCAAGGCGACGAUCCGUAGCUGGUCUGAGAGGAUGAUCAGCCACACCGGAACUGAGACACGGUCCGGACUCCUGCGGGAGGCAGCAGGGGGGAAUAUUGCGCAAUGGGCGAAAGCCUGACGCAGCCAUACCGCGUGUGUGAAGAAGGCCUUCGGGUUGUAAAGCACUUUCAGUGGGGAGGAAAAGCUGGUGGCUAAUAUCCAUCGGCCGUGACGCUACCCACAGAAGAAGCACCGGCUAAUUCCGUGCCAGCAGCCGCCGUAAUAC